rnacentral:rRNA from 1 species
GACGAACGCUGGCGGCGUGCUUACACAUGCAAGUCGAACGGUAAGGCUCCAGCUUGCUGGGGUACACGAGUGGCGAACGGGUGAGUAACACGUGGGUGACCUGCCCUGCACUUCGGGAUAAGCCUGGGAAACUGGGUCUAAUACCGGAUAGGACUGCACCGUGAGGGUGUGGUGGAAAGUUUUUUCGGUGUGGGAUGGGCCCGCGGCCUAUCAGCUAGUUGGUGGGGUAAUGGCCUACCAAGGCGGCGACGGGUAGCCGGCCUGAGAGGGUGGACGGCCACAUUGGGACUGAGACACGGCCCAGACUCCUACGGGAGGCAGCAGUGGGGAAUAUUGCACAAUGGGCGGAAGCCUGAUGCAGCGACGCCGCGUGGGGGAUGACGGCCUUCGGGUUGUAAACUCCUUUCACCAUCGACGAAGGGUUUCUGACGGUAGAUGGAGAAGAAGCACCGGCUAACUACGUGCCAGCAGCCGCGGUAAUACGUAGGGUGCGAGCGUUGUCCGGAAUUACUGGGCGUAAAGAGCUCGUAGGUGGUUUGUCGCGCCGUCUGUGAAAUUCCGGGGCUUAACUCCGGGCGUGCAGGCGAUACGGGCAUAACUUGAGUACUGUAGGGGAGACUGGAAUUCCUGGUGUAGCGGUGAAAUGCGCAGAUAUCAGGAGGAACACCGGUGGCGAAGGCGGGUCUCUGGGCAGUAACUGACGCUGAGGAGCGAGAGCAUGGGGAGCGAACAGGAUUAGAUACCCUGGUAGUCCAUGCCGUAAACGGUGGGCGCUAGGUGUGGGUUUCCUUCCACGGGAUCCGUGCCGUAGCUAACGCAUUAAGCGCCCCGCCUGGGGAGUACGGCCGCAAGGCUAAAACUCAAAGGAAUUGACGGGGGCCCGCACAAGCGGCGGAGCAUGUGGAUUAAUUCGAUGCAACGCGAAGAACCUUACCUGGGCUUGACAUAUACAGGAUCGCGCCAGAGAUGGUGUUUCCCUUGUGGCUUGUAUACAGGUGGUGCAUGGUUGUCGUCAGCUCGUGUCGUGAGAUGUUGGGUUAAGUCCCGCAACGAGCGCAACCCUUGUCUUAUGUUGCCAGCACGUUGUGGUGGGGACUCGUAAGAAACUGCCGGGGUUAACUCGGAGGAAGGUGGGGAUGACGUCAAAUCAUCAUGCCCCUUAUGUCCAGGGCUUCACACAUGCUACAAUGGUCGGUACAGUGGGUUGCCAGUCCGUGAGGGCGAGCUAAUCCCGCAAAGCCGGUCUCAGUUCGGAUCGGGGUCUGCAACUCGACCCCGUGAAGUCGGAGUCGCUAGUAAUCGCAGAUCAGCAACGCUGCGGUGAAUACGUUCCCGGGCCU